UACGUAGGGCGCAAGCGUUGUCCGGAAUUAUUGGGCGUAAAGAGCUCGUAGGUGGUUUGUCGCGUCUGCCGUGAAAACCCGAGGCUUAACCUCGUGGCUUGCGGUGGAUACGGGCAGACUAGAGGUAGGUAGGGGGAGAAUGGAAUUCCCGGUGUAGCGGUGAAAUGCGCAGAUAUCGGGAGGAACACCGGUGGCGAAGGCGGUUCUCUGGGCCUUACCUGACGCUGAGGAGCGAAAGCGUGGGGAGCGAACAGG
rnacentral:rRNA from 1 species